AGCCCAUUUAACCCCGGUCUCCCCUACUUCUAUCUUUUUUCAAUGUCAGCAUUCAUUAAACGGGAAAUCAGAAUUGGCAAGUCUUCUGUCUCGCUAUUAUAUUGUCCAAUUCUUUGCAUCAAAUAACAAGAAAAUAAAGAGAACAACGAGAAAAUAAACCAGAAUUGCUAACAAUCGCAUUAUGAUGAAAGCCUAUACCAGGUUCCCGUAUGGUAUGUCGUAUCAGUGAUUGCAACAUCCAUCAUCGGCGCUUCUUGUCAGCUACCGAGACCGCCAUGUGGAGAGGAAACAGAAGAGCAAAUUCUCAAGAAGUUCCUGGCUAAUUUUGAGUCAAACGGUUCUAUUGAUGGAAUGGUGACAUACGAUGAAUUUCUAGAUUAUUACGCCGGAGUCAGUUCCUCAAUCGAUCAUGAUGCAUAUUUUGACUUGAUGAUGAGGCAGGCAUGGAAAAUGUAAUGUUUUCGUAAUAUGCUGGUAUUCCCGCAUCUUAUCGAAGAAUCAGCAAGGAAUUCGAUAAGAAAGGAUCUUAAUGGCUGCGGAUGACUUAUCCCAUUUUUUGCGUCCGCCAGCUUUUUCAUCGUAUCUUUUUCCUUCUCCAAGUUUUUUGUCUUAUUUGCAAAUUAUCUCUUUUUUGUUUGUUUUUGACAUCACAGAUGCAGUACGCACACUUAGUUUUACGUUUUAUUUUGUUCUGACUUCAUCUUCCUUUUGACCCUUGCCCUGGAUUUACCACUGCCUAUUUUUUCUAAUUGCCUGUUGUCCCGACGUUACGAGCUAAAUCGAACAAAGUUGGCAUUUCAUCGGUCACUUGGUAUACUAACGUGCACGAUAAAAAAAAAUCAACCGUAUUCGGAAUGAAAAAAUGUAAUACCGCAUACAUUCUUGGACAACUAUCUUAUGCUAACUAAAACAAGUGGAAUUUGAAUAUCGCUUCGUUAUUACUAUAAUCUAAACAAAUAAACUAUCCACAGGGAACUUUUAUGUUUCACUUACUACAGCACUACUUACCUACGUAAUAAAUAGUAUUUAGUUUAUCAACAAAAAUAUUUUAAAGGUAAAGAGGAUUAACGAUUGAGAUUACCUGGCAGCUAACACCGCCCAACAAAUUCCGCUGUUGAAAUUGUUUGUCCCCGGCCCAUCGACAAAUGGAUUUGAAAAAAUUUUGUUAAUCAUGUCACAAAUAGACUAAAAAUUACAAAUUAACAUAAACUAUCAA
rnacentral:lncRNA from 1 species